rnacentral:rRNA from 1 species
UUAAGUUAGAAAGGGCGCACGGUGGAUGCCUUGGCACUAGGAGCCGAUGAAGGACGGGACGAACACCGAUAUGCUUCGGGGAGCUGUAAGCAAGCUUUGAUCCGGAGAUUUCCGAAUGGGGAAACCCACCACUCGUAAUGGAGUGGUAUCCAUAUCUGAAUUCAUAGGAUAUGAGAAGGCAGACCCGGGGAACUGAAACAUCUAAGUACCCGGAGGAAGAGAAAGCAAAUGCGAUUCCCUGAGUAGCGGCGAGCGAAACGGGAUUAGCCCAAACCAAGAGGCUUGCCUCUUGGGGUUGUAGGACACUCUGUACGGAGUUACAAAGGAACGAGGUAGAUGAAGAGGUCUGGAAAGGCCCGCCAUAGGAGGUAACAGCCCUGUAGUCAAAACUUCGUUCUCUCCUGAGUGGAUCCUGAGUACGGCGGAACACGUGAAAUUCCGUCGGAAUCCGGGAGGACCAUCUCCCAAGGCUAAAUACUCCCUAGUGACCGAUAGUGAACCAGUACCGUGAGGGAAAGGUGAAAAGCACCCCGGAAGGGGAGUGAAAGAGAUCCUGAAACCGUGUGCCUACAAGUAGUCAGAGCCCGUUAACGGGUGAUGGCGUGCCUUUUGUAGAAUGAACCGGCGAGUUACGAUCCCGUGCAAGGUUAAGCAGAAGAUGCGGAGCCGCAGCGAAAGCGAGUCUGAAUAGGGCGCAUGAGUACGUGGUCGUAGACCCGAAACCAGGUGAUCUACCCAUGUCCAGGGUGAAGUUCAGGUAACACUGAAUGGAGGCCCGAACCCACGCACGUUGAAAAGUGCGGGGAUGAGGUGUGGGUAGGGGUGAAAUGCCAAUCGAACCUGGAGAUAGCUGGUUCUCUCCGAAAUAGCUUUAGGGCUAGCCUCAAGGUAAGAGUCUUGGAGGUAGAGCACUGAUUGGACUAGGGGCCCCUACCGGGUUACCGAAUUCAGUCAAACUCCGAAUGCCAAUGACUUAUCCUUGGGAGUCAGACUGCGAGUGAUAAGAUCCGUAGUCGAAAGGGAAACAGCCCAGACCGCCAGCUAAGGUCCCAAAGUAUACGUUAAGUGGAAAAGGAUGUGGAGUUGCUUAGACAACCAGGAUGUUGGCUUAGAAGCAGCCACCAUUUAAAGAGUGCGUAAUAGCUCACUGGUCGAGUGACUCUGCGCCGAAAAUGUACCGGGGCUAAACGUAUCACCGAAGCUGCGGACUGUUCUUCGAACAGUGGUAGGAGAGCGUUCUAAGGGCUGUGAAGCCAGACCGGAAGGACUGGUGGAGCGCUUAGAAGUGAGAAUGCCGGUAUGAGUAGCGAAAGAGGGGUGAGAAUCCCCUCCACCGAAUGCCUAAGGUUUCCUGAGGAAGGCUCGUCCGCUCAGGGUUAGUCGGGACCUAAGCCGAGGCCGAAAGGCGUAGGCGAUGGACAACAGGUUGAUAUUCCUGUACCACCUCCUCACCAUUUGAGCAAUGGGGGGACGCAGGAGGAUAGGGUAAGCGCGGUAUUGGAUAUCCGCGUCCAAGCAGUUAGGCUGGGAAAUAGGCAAAUCCGUUUCCCAUAAGGCUGAGCUGUGAUGGCGAGCGAAAUAUAGUAGCGAAGUUCCUGAUUCCACACUGCCAAGAAAAGCCUCUAGCGAGGUGAGAGGUGCCCGUACCGCAAACCGACACAGGUAGGCGAGGAGAGAAUCCUAAGGUGAUCGAGAGAACUCUCGUUAAGGAACUCGGCAAAAUGACCCCGUAACUUCGGGAGAAGGGGUGCUCUGUUAGGGUGCAAGCCCGAGAGAGCCGCAGUGAAUAGGCCCAGGCGACUGUUUAGCAAAAACACAGGUCUCUGCGAAGCCGUAAGGCGAAGUAUAGGGGCUGACGCCUGCCCGGUGCUGGAAGGUUAAGAGGAGCGCUUAGCGUAAGCGAAGGUGCGAAUUGAAGCCCCAGUAAACGGCGGCCGUAACUAUAACGGUCCUAAGGUAGCGAAAUUCCUUGUCGGGUAAGUUCCGACCCGCACGAAAGGCGCAACGAUCUGGGCACUGUCUCAACGAGAGACUCGGUGAAAUUAUAGUACCUGUGAAGAUGCAGGUUACCCGCGACAGGACGGAAAGACCCCGUGGAGCUUUACUGCAGCCUGAUAUUGAAUGUUGGUACAGCUUGUACAGGAUAGGUAGGAGCCUUGGAAACCGGAGCGCCAGCUUCGGUGGAGGCAUCGGUGGGAUACUACCCUGGCUGUAUUGACCUUCUAACCCGCCGCCCUUAUCGGGCGGGGAGACAGUGUCAGGUGGGCAGUUUGACUGGGGCGGUCGCCUCCUAAAAGGUAACGGAGGCGCCCAAAGGUUCCCUCAGAAUGGUUGGAAAUCAUUCGCAGAGU